AUAACGACUCUCGGCAACGGAUAUCUAGGCUCUUGCAUCGAUGAAGAACGUAGCGAAAUGCGAUACUUGGUGUGAAUUGCAGAAUCCCGUGAACCAUCGAGUCUUUGAACGCAAGUUGCGCCCGAAGCCAUUAGGUUGAGGGCACGUCUGCCUGGGCGUCACAU
rnacentral:rRNA from 6 species